rnacentral:rRNA from 1 species
UAAGGCAGUGGUAGCGCUGAAGAAUAUUCGUGCAAUUGUCGUUAUUCAUUAUAAAAAGGGCGGGUUUUAAAGGAUAUUUUAAAAUUUAAAACAAGCUUUUAAGAGCAGAUGGCGGAUGCCUUGCCAAAGAGAGGCGAUGAAGGACGUACUAGACUGCGAUAAGCUAUGCGGAGCUGUCAAGGAGCUUUGAUGCGUAGAUGUCCGAAUGGGGCAACCCAACUAAUAGAGAUAUUAGUUACUCUUUAAUAGAGAGCGAACCUAGUGAAGUGAAACAUCUCAGUAACUAGAGGAAAAGAAAUCAACGAGAUUCCCUAAGUAGUGGCGAGCGAACGGGGAAAAGGGCAAACCGAGUGCUUGCAUUCGGGGUUGAGGACUGCAACAUCCAAGAGAACGCUUUAGCAGAGUUACCUGGAAAGGUAAGCCAUAGAAAGUGAUAGCCUUGUAUGCGACAAGGCGUUCUUAGGUAGCAGUAUCCAGAGUAGGCCAGGACACGAGAAAUCCAGGUUGAAGCCGGGGAGACCACUCUCCAACCCUAAAUACUACUCUUUGAGCGAUAGCGAACAAGUACCGUGAGGGAAAGGUGAAAAGAACCGCAGUGAGCGGAGUGAAAUAGAACCUGAAACCAUCUGCUUACAAUCAUUCAGAGCCCUAUGAUUUAUCAGGGUGAUGGACUGCCUUUUGCAUAAUGAUCCUGCGAGUUGUGGUAUCUGGCAAGGUUAAGCGAAUGCGAAGCCGUAGCGAAAGCGAGUCUUAAUAGGGCGAACAAGUCAGAUGCUGCAGACCCGAAGCUAAGUGAUCUAUCCAUGGCCAAGUUGAAACGCGUGUAAUAGCGCGUGGAGGACUGAACUCGUACCCAUUGAAACGGGUUGGGAUGAGCUGUGGAUAGGGGUGAAAGGCCAAACAAACUUAGUGAUAGCUGGUUCUCUUCGAAAUAUAUUUAGGUAUAGCCUCAAGUGAUAAUAAAAGGGGGUAGAGCCCUGAUUGGGCUAGGGCUGCUCGCCGCGGUACCAAACCCUAUCAAACUUCGAAUACCUUUUAUCGUAUCUUGGGAGUCAGGCGGUGGGUGAUAAAAUCAAUCGUCAAAAGGGGAACAACCCAGACUACCAAAUAAGGUCCCUAAGUUCUAUUCUGAGUGGAAAAAGAUGUGUGGCUACUCAAACAACCAGGAGGUUGGCUUAAAAGCACCCAUCCUUUAAANAAAGCGUAACAGCUCACUGGUCUAGUGGUCAUGCGCUGAAAAUAUAACGGGGCUAAGAUAGACACCGAAUUUGUAGAUUGUGUUAAACACAGUGGUAGAAGAGCGUUCAUACCAGCGUUGAAGGUAUACCGGUAAGGAGUGCUGGAGCGGUAUGAAGUGAGCAUGCAGGAAUGAGUAACGAUAAGAUAUAUGAGAAUUGUAUCCGCCGUAAAUCUAAGGUUUCCUACGCGAUGGUCGUCAUCGUAGGGUUAGUCGGGUCCUAAGCCGAGUCCGAAAGGGGUAGGUGAUGGCAAAUUGGUUAAUAUUCCAAUACCGACUGUGGAGCGUGAUGGGGGGACGCAUAGGGUUAAGCGAGCUAGCUGAUGGAAGCGCUAGUCUAAGGGCGUAGAUUGGAGGGAAGGCAAAUCCACCUCUGUAUUUGAAACCCAAACAGGCUCUUUGAGUCCUUUUAGGACAAAGGGAGAAUCGCUGAUACCGUCGUGCCAAGAAAAGUCUCUAAGCAUAUCCAUAGUCGUCCGUACCGCAAACCGACACAGGUAGAUGAGAUGAGUAUUCUAAGGCGCGUGAAAGAACUCUGGUUAAGGAACUCUGCAAACUAGCACCGUAAGUUCGCGAUAAGGUGUGCCACAGCGAUGUGGUCUCAGCAAAGAGUCCCUCCCGACUGUUUACCAAAAACACAGCACUUUGCCAACUCGUAAGAGGAAGUAUAAGGUGUGACGCCUGCCCGGUGCUCGAAGGUUAAGAGGAUGCGUCAGUCGCAAGAUGAAGCGUUGAAUUGAAGCCCGAGUAAACGGCGGCCGUAACUAUAACGGUCCUAAGGUAGCGAAAUUCCUUGUCGGUUAAAUACCGACCUGCAUGAAUGGCGUAACGAGAUGGGAGCUGUCUCAACCAGAGAUUCAGUGAAAUUGUAGUGGAGGUGAAAAUUCCUCCUACCCGCGGCAAGACGGAAAGACCCCGUGGACCUUUACUACAACUUAGCACUGCUAAUGGGAAUAUCAUGCGCAGGAUAGGUGGGAGGCUUUGAAGUAAGGGCUUUGGCUCUUAUGGAGCCAUCCUUGAGAUACCACCCUUGCAUGUUUCUGUUAGCUAACUGGCCUGUGUUAUCCACAGGCAGGACAAUGCUUGGUGGGUAGUUUGACUGGGGCGGUCGCCUCCUAAAAAGUAACGGAGGCUUGCAAAGGUUGGCUCAUUGCGGUUGGAAAUCGCAAGUUGAGUGUAAUGGCACAAGCCAGCCUGACUGUAAGACAUACAAGUCAAGCAGAGACGAAAGUCGGUCAUAGUGAUCCGGUGGUUCUGUGUGGAAGGGCCAUCGCUCAAAGGAUAAAAGGUACCCCGGGGAUAACAGGCUGAUCUCCCCCAAGAGCUCACAUCGACGGGGAGGUUUGGCACCUCGAUGUCGGCUCAUCGCAUCCUGGGGCUGGAGCAGGUCCCAAGGGUAUGGCUGUUCGCCAUUUAAAGCGGUACGCGAGCUGGGUUCAGAACGUCGUGAGACAGUUCGGUCCCUAUCUGCCGUGGGCGUAGGAAAGUUGAGGAGAGCUGUCCCUAGUACGAGAGGACCGGGAUGGACGUGUCACUGGUGCACCAGUUGUUCUGCCAAGAGCAUCGCUGGGUAGCUACACACGGAUGUGAUAACUGCUGAAAGCAUCUAAGCAGGAAGCCAACUCCAAGAUGAACUUUCCCUGAAGCUCGCACAAAGACUAUGUGCUUGAUAGGGUAGAUGUGUGAGCGCAGUAAUGCGUUUAGCUGACUACUACUAAUAGAGCGUUUGGCUUGUUUUU